rnacentral:lncRNA from 1 species
AACGUUGUUUUUUCUUUGCGUUUGUUGCUUGACGACGUGGGACGGUGGAAGAAUGGAAACCAUAUUUUGUUUCCCUUUUUGCCCCUAUCUCUCCUGCUGACAGCAACCAUUGCGGUGUUUCUAUUUAUUUUUCCCGUCUACAGUCCACUUCAGCGACACUCUCUCUCUCUCUUCCUGAUGAUCGAUCUACACCUACCACAUAACCAGUCAUCCCCUUCAUCUCAAAGUCUCUCUUUCCCGUAAAAAACACAAGUUCUGGAUGCGCGCGCUGUUAAAUUAAACAAGAAGAAACUUUUUGCUUCCUAGCUAACUAGCUCAAACAGCCCAAGUGGUAAAUUAAUUGUGGAAAUUCUGUAUAUAGUUUAGAUAGAGGCUGUGUUCAGUUGACGAGAGUUGCAAACAAGAUCAAUAGCUAGGUGAAUUUUUCAAAUUUCCAUUUUGAUUCCGUUUUUUUAUUACUGAUUUUAGUGUUUCAGAGAAAGUUUCUAAGUUGCUUCUACAAUUUUGUUCCAUGAUUAAGCAUCUGAUGCAUUGUCCAAUGUAUUUUUUCUUAAUUGCCUCUUCAAUUUUUAAGGGCUGUUUCUUUUGCUUUGCUAUUGAUUUCCUAUUCAUUUGGAUCUGUCUUCGACCAUAUUUGAUAAAUUUUCCUGGCAAUCCUGCGUCCUAUCAAUCUCUCUUCCUCUCUGGCUUUCGAUCAUUCACGAUUGACCUAUAUCUAGAUAAGUUAAUUUGCAUUGUUCAUCAUUUUUUUUUGUAGAAAUGGAACUCUUUCAAUUGUUGUCUUUUCAGGUUAUCAUUAUUUGCCUUGUUGUUUGCGUUGUUGAGUGGGUGUGGGGGUUGUUUUUCUUCUCUUUUUUCACAUAAUCACCUAUCAUAUCGCCCCUGUAUAAGAAAGGGUUUGUGCGCUUUGUAGGGCUAUGUGCUUCUUAGGAUUCCAAUCCUGCUGUGUUUGGGGGUUUCAUAUAUUUUCUAUUAGAGGCAAGUUUUAGAUUAUGAUCCUGGUAACCCGAGCUUUCUCUCUGUGCAGGUUUUUUUUUCUCUUUUCAUGAUUCUUUUUGAAAGCCAUUGUUGUUAUAUGGGUUUUAUUUGUGAUUUCUUUGUUCGAAUUAUUUUGGUUGGGAUUGCUUUGAAUUUUGGUUUCGGAUCCUAUUGUUUUUCAUUUGUUGGCAUAUGAAUUGCCUGCAUGUGUGCUGAGCUUUUCAUGUUCAUCUGCAUUCUGAAACUUUUUUGUUCCUUUUUCCCCUUUCAAUAUGAUUUCUUUAUACUUUUCUUUUUAUUCUUGUUUUAAUUUACUCAUGAAGAAUUUUGUCGACUCUUUCCUUCCAUCACCUUUCAUAGACUUACACAUCUGUCAGGCUUGAGUAAGAAUUUUCAUCUUCGUAGCUCUGCACUUUAUGCUUUUGCUCAAACAAGCAAGGCACUUCAAUAAUUUCCCAUCAUUUUUUGGCUCCUCAGUUGGAUGUAUUUGCUACCUGCAAUUCAUGAAAUCUGGUUUUCGUGGACUAGUUAAAUUAACUUACUUUUGAAGAACAAUCGUGGAUGCUUGCAUGUAAUCAUCUGGGUAUCUUUAAUUAGC